rnacentral:rRNA from 1 species
GUGCUCCGAUGCAUCUAGAUUACGCGAAGACCUUACCUGGCCUUGACAUCCUGCGAACUUUCUAGAGAUAGAUUGGUGCCUUCGGGAACGCAGUGACAGGUGCUGCAUGGCCGUCGUCAGCUCGUGUCGUGAGAUGUUGGGUUAAGUCCCGUAACGAGCGCAACCCCUAUCCCUAGUUGCUAGCAGUUCGGCUGAGAACUCUAGGGAGACUGCCGGUGACAAACCGGAGGAAGGUGGGGAUGACGUCAGGUCAUCAUGGCCCUUACGGCCAGGGCUACACACGUGCUACAAUGGCGCGCACAGAGGGCUGCAAACCCGCGAGGGGGAGCUAAUCUCACAAAACGCGUCGUAGUCCGGAUCGCAGUCUGCAACUCGACUGCGUGAAGUCGGAAUCGCUAGUAAUCGCGAAUCAGAAUGUCGCGGUGAAUACGUUCCCGGGUCUUGUA